AACGAACGCUGGCGGCGCGCCUAAUACAUGCAAGUCGAACGGGGAAAGUAGCAAUACGAGUACUAGUGGCGCACGGGUGAGGAAUACAUGGGUAAUCUGCCCUCGAGCUCGGGAUAACCAGUCGAAAGACUGGCUAAUACCGGAUAUGACCACAAGAUCUGAGGAUCAAGGGGUAAAAGGUUUUUCGCUUGAGGAUGAGCCCAUGUGGGAUUAGCUAGUUGGUGUAGGUAACGGCUCACCAAGGCGACGAUCCCUAACUGGUCUUAGAGGAUGAUCAGUCACACUGGAACUGAGACACGGUCCAGACUCCUACGGGAGGCAGCAGUAGGGAAUAUUGCACAAUGGAGGAAACUCUGAUGCAGCGACGCCGCGUGAGUGAUGAAGGCCUUCGGGUCGUAAAGCUCUGUCGUAUGGGACUAACAAAAUGAAGGUACCAUGCAAGAAAGGAUCGGCUAACUUCGUGCCAGCAGCCGCGGUAA
rnacentral:rRNA from 1 species